CGUGAGGCAAGAGCUGCACAAGCAGCAAGUGGACUGAGAUGUGACCUGUUUUCUGAAAGUUCUUCAACGGAUGAAGUGAUCACUGGUGGAUCCUCAACUUCUGCUGCCACUUGUAGAUUACUGGACCUCCUGNNNNNNNNNUUCUUCUCACUGGACUCUGGUCACAAGGAACUUUAACACAUGGAAUGCUUAUUUUGGCUGCAGCAACAAGCUUGCAACUUCCCUUUUUAUCUAAUAUGCUGUUG
rnacentral:misc_RNA from 1 species